rnacentral:tRNA from 1 species
UAAGCUCCAAAUAUAAAGUCUAGAACUUUCAUUAGAAUAA